GCGUUGUCCGGAAUCAUUGGGCGUAAAGAGCGUGUAGGCGGCCCGAUAAGUCUGCCGUGAAAGUCCAGGGCUCAACCCUGGAAUGCCGGUGGAUACUGUCGGGCUAGAGUCCGGAAGGGGCGAGUGGAAUUCCUGGUGUAGCGGUGAAAUGCGCAGAUAUCAGGAGGAACACCAAUGGCGAAGGCAGCUCGCUGGGACGGUACUGACGCUGAGACGCGAAAGCGUG
rnacentral:rRNA from 1 species